ACGGAAUAGAUACCCCGGUAGUCCACGCCCUAAACGAUGUCUACUAGUUGUUGGUGGAGUAAAAUCCAUGAGUAAACGCAGCUAAACGCGUGAAGUAGACCGCCUGGGGAGUACGGUCGCAAGAUUAAAACUCAAAUGAAUUGACGGGGGCCCGCACAAGCGGUGGAUUAUGUGGAUUAAAUUCGAUGCAACGCGAAAACCUUACCUGGCCUUGACAUGUAACGAACUUUCCAGAGAUGGAUUGGUGCUCGAAAGAGAACGUUAACACAGGUGCUGCAUGGCUGUCAUCAGCUCGUGUCGUGAGAUGUUGGGUUAAAGUCCCGCAACGAGCGCAACCCUUGCCAUUAACUUGCCAUCAUUUAGUUGGGCACUUUAAUGGGACUGCCGGUGACAAACCGGUA
rnacentral:rRNA from 1 species